rnacentral:rRNA from 1 species
CCUACGGGUGGCUGCAGUGGGGAAUUUUGCGCAAUGGGGGAAACCCUGACGCAGCGACGCCGCGUGGAGGACGAAGGUCUUCGGAUUGUAAACUCCUUUUAUGAGGGAAGAUAAUGACGGUACCUCAUGAAUAAGCCACGGCUAACUCUGUGCCAGCAGCCGCGGUAAGACAGAGGUGGCAAGCGUUGUUCGGAAUUACUGGGCUUAAAGGGCGCGUAGGCGGUAUGGUAAGUCUGGAGUGGAAUCCCAGGGCUCAACCCUGGAAUUGCUUUGGAAACUGCCAAACUUGAGUCAGUGAGGGGAGGGCGGAAUUCCUGGUGUAGCAGUGAAAUGCGUAGAUAUCAGGAGGAAGGCCGGUGGCGAAGGCGGCCCUCUGGCACUUGACUGACGCUGAGGCGCGAAAGCGUGGGGAGCAAACAGGAUUAGAUACCCUAGUAGUC